UAGGGAAUCUUCCACAAUGGACGCAAGUCUGAUGGAGCAACGCCGCGUGAGUGAAGAAGGUUUUCGGAUCGUAAAGCUCUGUUGUUGGUGAAGAAGGAUAGAGGCAGUAACUGGUCUUUAUUUGACGGUAAUCAACCAGAAAGUCACGGCUAACUACGUGCCAGCAGCCGCGGUAAUACGUAGGUGGCAAGCGUUGUCCGGAUUUAUUGGGCGUAAAGCGAGCGCAGGAGGAAUGAUAAGUCUGAUGUGAAAGACCACGGCUCAACCGUGGAACUGCAUCGGAAAAUGUGAGUAUUGAGUGCAGAAGAGGAGAGUGGAAUUCCAUGUGUAGCGGUGGAAUGCGUAGAUAUAUGGAAGAACACCAGUGGCGAAGGCGGCUCUCUGGUCUGCAACUGACGCUGAGGCUCGAAAGCAUGGGUAGCGAACAGG
rnacentral:rRNA from 1 species